GAGAGGAAGAAUCUCCGGCUGAGCGAGAGAGUCUCCCAGUCGAGAGAAAAGACCUCCAAUGUGAGAGAGAUACAAGAGAUGCCCUCGAGAGAGACUCCCUGCAAUACAGACUUCACAACCUUCGAUUUCAACAAGACACCCUCUAGUCCAAACAAGAUGCCCUCCGGUCCGAGAGGGACAUCCUCAAGUCCAAAUGGGAACUGAGUGAGAUGCCUUCCAGCACGCAAAAUUCGGUCUCCAAAUGGAACUGAACAGAAUUCAGUCUCAUCAAGCCAUGCUUGAAUCUGAACUAAAUAUCCUCAUAAUCAAACAAGAUAGACUCCCAGCCGAGCUGGAGGGUGAGAACAUCAGAACUGACCAACCUGAUAAACCACAGGAGGCACCAGAAUCAAUGUCAGUUGCCCCUGUAAGAGGACAGAAAAUGAAACUAAACUCAGAACAGAAGAAAGAGGAGGAGGCUAAAGUAGAGGAGGUCACAGUAAGAGAAGAGGAGGAAAGAGUUCCAGAGGAGUGGCUCAGAGAUCCAGAAGAAGUGCCCCUGAAUCGAGGGGAAGGGCUCUCAACAAGACUGUGGUCACCAACUCCUACAAGGGCAACAAGAAGUCCUGAAAGAGUGAGAGGUGACGCAGAAGAAGAAUGAUUCUGUGUGGGGCCCAGAGCAGCAGCAGGCUUUUGAGCAGAUUAAACAAGAGAUAGCCCGUGCCAUGGCCUUGGGGCCAGUAUGGAUGGAACAGGGUGUAAAGAACAUCCUCUACUGCUGCUGGAGAGAAAGGUCCCACUUGGAGUUUGUGGCAGAGAGCCUCAGGAGAGACCCGAGGCUGACCCCUGGGAUUCUGGAGUCGAGCCUACAGGGGGUCUGAAGAGUGCUACACUCCAACUGAAAAGGAGAUCUUAGCUGCAUAUGAAAGGGUUCGGGCUGCUUCUGAAGUAAUCCGUACUGAAACACAGCUCCUUCUGGGACCUCGACUGCCAGUGCUGAACUGGAUGUUCAAGGGAAAGGUUCCCUCCACCCAUCAUGCUACUGAUGCCACUUGGAGUAAGUGGAUUGCACUGAUUAUGCAAUGAGCUCAGAUGGGGAACCUCAGCCAUCCAGGAAUCCUAGAGGUGAUCAUGGACUGGCCUGAAGGUAAAAAGUUUGGAACAUCACCAGCAGAAGAGACAUCACGUGCUAAAGAGGCCCCACCAUACAAUGAACUACCAGAGAAUGAAAAGAAAUAUGCCCUGUUCACAGAUGGAUCGUGUCGUAUUGUGGGAAAGCAUCGCAGAUGGAAAUCUGCUGUGUGGAGCCCCACACGACAAGUUGCAGAGGCCACUGAAGGGAAAGGAGAAUCAAGCCAAUUUGCAGAGGUAAAGGCUGUCCAACUGGCCUUAGAUGUUACUGAGCGGGAGAGGUGGCCAAUGCUCUAUCUCUACACUGACUCAUGGAGGGUAGCAAAUGCCUUAUGGGGAUGGUUAAGCAGUGGGAGCAAAAUAACUGGCAAAGAAGGGGUAAACCUAUUUGGGCUGCUGAACUGUCUGAACAAAGAAUAUGGUUAUAAAGGUGUGCCAUGUAGAUGCUCACAUGCCCAAGAGUUGGGCUACUGAAGAGCAGCAAAAUAACCAUCAUGUAGACUGAGCUGCCAAAAUUAAGGUGGCUCAAAUAGACUUGGAUUGGCAAAACAAGGGUGAAUUAUUUCUAGCUUGGUGGGCCCAUGAGACUUCGGGUCAUCAAGGAAGAGUAUUUAGUAAAUUAGUUUGUUUCUCCUCAGAUUGUCGCCACUGUUUUUAAUUAUUUCAGGGUCCCCUGUUUCCCUUUUCUGGAGGUGUGGAUUUUGCGAGAUCCCUCCGCCCUGCUGGUCAUGGAACCAGGCUGAACCAGCCUGUGAACCUUUGACAGCAGUGCAGCUGAAUGUGAAAGAGAACAAGAGAACAAGAAACCUAAGGAACAAUAAAAUGCUUUUGAAUUUGAAACUGUAUGUAAGUGGUUACAAAUCUACAGAGGGAGUUGCUAUUUCAGCUUUACUCUCCCUAGCACUGUUUCUCAUUUGAGAUUUUAUAUUCCUGUCUGCAGAUAUUCUAAAAGAUCAUGAGCACUCUGCGCAGAAUUGAAGUACCAGAGAAAGGCCAAAGAGGAAGUUGGCCAUACUGCACAGGUUUCCAGGUAAAGAGCAGCAUUCUCUACUCUCGGCUUGCCUGCAUGUUUGAUUUUGCCCCAUGGCAGAGAAUCUUUGGUGUAAUAAUCCAGGGGACAGAAGACAUUUCUGAUCAGUCAGUGAGAACUCACAUUAAUUUAUCAAAGAAUCCAGGAUUAGAGAGCUCACCAGUGACAAAGAAAAUACGUUUACUAUCUAAAAAGAGAGUUAGCAUGAGUUCAAGUCUUGCUUUUUCAGAAAAAGAGUGGGAGUGAACUAAGUCCUAUUUUGUGUUCUACAACAACUGACGUUUGGUUUUCUGAAGCAGACCCUGGGACGGUUGUAGCACUGCAUAGCUGAAAGGCACUAUGUGCUUCCAUGAUAAAAGUGGAAGAGAUUACUUCUCAUAAUCUUACCAUCAUCUAUGAAAAUAUUCAUUUUGAUUAUUGAACUUCAAAAGAACAUGGAGGACAAGUAAGCCCAUCUCUCCACCUUCUUCCCAAGAAGGACCAGGUCCCUCUUUCCUUUUUACAUAGAAGCUAACCACCCAUGAAGUAAUUGCAGGGUUCUUUUUGGCUUGUGACCUAUGCUGUACUAAUUUAGUUUCCAUCUUGCUGCAUUAUGGAGAUAUUUUCAGGGACAGAGAGUACAAAACACAUGAAAAAUAACUUCUCAAAAAUAACAGAGGAAACAAGCUUUAUUGUUAUUAUUUGAAAUUUUUGUGCGUGGUAAAGGUACAUAUUUGAUUGAUUUUCCUACAUUUCCAAGACAGAGUACUUUUUAUUUUUAUCAUCGGCUAAAGCAUUAAGAAUGCCGUGGCACACAGGAAGCUAAAACUAUACACACACAUACACACACACAAACACUUUGAUGUGCAUCUUUCAUACUCGGUGUUAAAGAGAUAAAGUUGUAUUUAACCUCACAGGGAUUUAAAAAGAAAGCAAAACAAUGAAACAAAAACAAGUGAGAAUAAUAUUUCAUCAUGAGUUUCAAGAGAGUGCAAGACUUACGUGUACACAAAACAUAUGAAACAGACUUAAAAAGGUGGAAUGUACAAAAAAACUUUUAAAAAUGAAGAGGAAAGAUAGAGUCUUGGAACUGGAAAGCUGCAGUGUAUCAACUGGUAGAAAUUUCUAAUGUGGGGAUACUGCCAUAUGCUGUGCAGCUUGGGGAACAUUCCCAUGUCAUAAAGCCAAAGCAAAAAGUGUCAAGGUUAAGGCCGUGUUGCUCACAGACAUCAACCGAAGUGCUGUACAUUCAUCAGAAAGAACACAACCAGUGAGGAACCUUCCUACCCCAUAGCACAAAUACCUUUCUCAUACUCUCCACCAACAGUCCAAAGCAAUCACUGCUCACAGUUACUCAAGAAAAUUGCCACUGUACAUCAUGAUUUUAUAACUAGCUGUCACCCACAGCUGGAAGUCAUUUCUUCAUAACAAACACAACAUAUUGGGCACUUACAGUCCUCAUUAUGGCAACACCAGAUCCUUAACUGUAAAAAAAAACUGGUCUAAAAUUGAAAACCCUCUAGCUUUUAAGAA